rnacentral:lncRNA from 1 species
AGAGGAGGAGGAGGAGGAGAGGGGAAGGGGAAGAAAAGCUGCUGCUCCAGAUGCACUAAGAAGUUUUUUAAUUGCAUUUAACAGCGUCCCUGCUGGUUCUCCAUUCUGCAUCCGUGCAGCCACGUUCUAUUGAUGGCCUGUUGUGAUUUCAAUGGAACAUCAUGGGAUGUACCUGGCACGUCGGGCAGCACUGGAUGGAGGUGCCUUUAGCCCAAUGUACCUGGCAUGCACUGUUAGUUCAUUGUUCAGGUGCUCGGUGUCUAGCCUUCUCAUCCAUCCACAAAUCCUCUAC